rnacentral:ncRNA from 1 species
AUUCUCAGGGCAGGGUGCAAUUCCCUACCGGUGGUAAGUCAAAUGACAAGCCCACGAGCGUUUACCUUAACGGUAAAGUCAGCAGAUUUGGUGUAAAUCCAAAGCCGACAGUGACAGUCUGGAUGAAAGAGAAUA